rnacentral:lncRNA from 1 species
UUUCUUUCUUUAUUAGAGGCUUAGAACAAAAUAGAAGAAGGAAGGUAAAUCUAGGAUGCCACAGUCAUUCACAGAUUUAUUGUGUUGUGAUUCAUAUAGGCUAUUUUGUUUUACAUAAAAUACAGUACCUGAUUACAGCUCACAUGUUAUACUGACUUUUUUUUAAAAAACAUUUUCAGACAUGAAGAAGAACAUCGUCGUCGUGAGGAAGAAAUGAUCAGACACAGAGAACAGGAGGAAUUGAGACGACAGCAAGAAGGCUUUAAACCAAACUAUAUGGAAAAUAGAGAACAGGAAAUGAGAAUGGGUGAUAUGGGUCCCCGUGGAGCAAUAAACAUGGGAGAUGCGUUUAGCCCAGCACCUGCUGGUAACCAAGGUCCUCCUCCAAUGAUGGGUAUGAAUAUGAACAACAGAGGAACUAUACCUGGCCCACCAAUGGGUCCUGGUCCUGCCAUGGGACCAGAAGGAGCUGCAAAUAUGGGAACUCCAAUGAUGCCAGAUAAUGGAGCAGUGCACAAUGAUAGAUUUUCCCAAGGACCACCCUCCCAGAUGGGCUCUCCCAUGGGGAGUAGAGCAAGUUCUGAGACCCCUCAAGCACCAAUGACUGGUGUGGGUCCCGUGAGUGGUGGUCCUGGUGGCUUUGGUAGAGGCAGUCAAGGGGGCACCUUCGAAGGUCCUAAUAAGCGUCGUAGAUACUAA